AUGGGUAGAAGAAGAUUACGGGUAGAAGAAGAUUACGUAAGACAUUGCUAUGGUUAAUUAAUAAAGUUCAUUUAGUAUAAAAAAAAAAAAUCAAUAAUCCACUAUGCCAUAAAUUAUUCAAGUUCAAGUUGAGGGAUCUUCUCCCAACCCUGAUUGUAAUAAUCCAAUCAACAAUCCCACAAUGUCAGAAAUUAUCCAAGUUGGCGGAAAAAAGUUUUUUUCUUCUAAUGAAGAUCUCAGUUAUCAAAUCUCUUCUCGUAAUCAAGAUGAAUCUUUCCCCUACGAAGAAAAAAUCUCCGAUUCACUCUUAUUGUAUGAACGCUGCUAUAAAUUAUCAUCUGAAUAUUCCUUUGACGAUGAAGAAUUCAUUUACCCUAACCCUAACCAUAUUCGUAAUAAUCCCCAUACUAUGUCACAAUUUCUUGAAUAUUUCUUCAAUGUGCAAAAUCAAGAUCAAUCGUUCCUAUCUAUGGAGAAUAUUACUGAAACCGCGAUUGAUAGUUGGAAACUGAAUAUAGAAUGGUUGAAAUCAUGCGUUUCUUACUUGAGUAACUCAAUUCAUGGUUUUGAUGACUUGAGUGAUGCUGAGAAAGGGAAACACAUAAUUGAACGGUUGUUGUUUUCUGAUUGAAAUUGUCUUGUGCUGCUGGUGGUGUGCUUCCUAAAAAUGUCGAUACUUUGCAUGACGUUAAUCUUCCUGGUCCGUUUGUUCUUCAGGUUAAUGAGAUAGUUGAUGUAUGUAUACCUCCAAAAGAUAGGUUUCUGGAUCUACCUUAUGGGCUUAGGUGCCUUUAGUUGUCUAUGACGGAUGGUGUUCAAUGUGUAACUGGUAUGGAGAAGAGAUCUAUCAAAGAUCUUCAAGUUGCAUCUCCUGUGGGUUUGAAGGUUCUCAUUCAUAAUGUCAAUAUUCGGCAUGGGUGUCUAAUGCUGGUGCAUGAAGGCUUGAAAGUACUCGGGUGGAAUGGAAGAUCUGUCUGUGGAAGAGAUAGAUGAUGCAACAUGCGUUUGGAGAUGCAAGAGAGGAUAAUGAUUCGACGAUCCUGAAAGAGGGUGUAACGAUCCUGAAUUAGGCUCGACGAACCUGAAAGUGGUGUAACGACCCUGAACCGAGCUCGACUAACCGGAAAAAUAUUGUAGAAGAUUGAUUCUCCACCAACCAAAAACCCCAAGACACUUGGGAAUGAUGAACCCUUUCAGGGAAUGAUGAAACGAACAUGAAAAUGAUGACACGAUCCUGAACCGAGCUCGACAAAUUGAAAAAAUGAUGCAGAAGAAACAAAAAAAAAACAUUUCAGGAACCAAAGGAAAAGGAGGUAUCAAAUGCUGAGGCCGACGACGGAGAGGCAAUCCGAGGACUAGUGUCAUUUAUUAUUUAUGGGAAAGCAGUACCGCUGUUGGAUGAUGAAUCGAAGGAGUAUGAUCUGGAAUCACUGAUUCAUUCACUCUAGAGGGAGAAAGAGUUAAUUAUCUGUGACUAGUCGAGGUUUAGCUGCUGCUGCGAUAGGGAGAGACAAGAGAAUCACCUUUGUUCUGUUUUGGUAUGUUUAUAAGCUCAGAGUGGCAUGCGUGAUAUGCAUCUAGACGUAGUAAUCGUUUCCUAACCAGCCGAACCAUGGUGUAUUUUGUUCUGAACAUUUUUGCAGUUCAAUAUCACAUUUCAACACA